CCUACGGGUGGCAGCAGUGGGGAAUAUUGCACAAUGGGGGGAACCCUGAUGCAGCGACGCCGCGUGAGUGAAGAAGUAUUUCGGUAUGUAAAGCUCUAUCAGCAGGAACGAGACAAGACGGUACCUGACUAAGAAGCCCCGGCUAACUACGGGCCAGCAGCCGCGGUAAUACGUAGGGGGCAAGCGUGAUCCGGAAUCACUGGGUGGAAAGGGAGCGUAGACGGCUGAGCAAGCCUGAAGUGAAAGGCGGGGGCCCAACCCCCGGACUGCUUUGGGAACUGUACGGCUGGAGUGCAGGAGAGGUAAGUGGAAUUCCUAGUGUAGCGGUGAAAUGCGUAGAUAUUAGGAGGAACACCAGUGGCGAAGGCGGCUUACUGGACUGUAACUGACGUUGAGGCUCGAAAGCGUGGGGAGCAAACAGGAUUAGAUACCCUAGUAGUC
rnacentral:rRNA from 1 species